rnacentral:tRNA from 1 species
AAUAAAAUGCCUGAUUAAAAGGGUUAUCUUGAUAGGAUAAAUAAUAUACACAUUGUAUUUUUAUUA